UCACUUUCCUAAAUACAUUCCCAAUUCACAAAUCUGAUCUUAAUUUUUAGAUUUUCUGUGGUUGCAAAUUCCUUUAUCAUUUUCUCACCCUAAUCAAUUUCAGUCUCCCAUCCAUGAAUCAUAAUCACUUUCAUCUCCACACUAAUCUGUUUCGUACGCGUCGUCUCUGAACCACCGGUCCACCGUCGAACAAAGCUCCGCAAGCCUGCUCCCGUGCCGUGAGCAACUGAUUUCGACAUGCAAGAUAUUGUGGAUGUGUUGGAGCUAUCACAGCACCAAGAUGCCUCGUGAAACCACACAAAGAAGAAAGCUAUGAAUGGAUGAUUUUAAUGGGAGCAAGAAAGAGUAAAGAUAAUUCCAUGAAUCUACACGUAUGAUUCCCAAUAAGCUCAGGAAAAGAGGUAUCUCUUACUUUUCUCAGGUUUUGAGUUAGGCUUCUGUUAGCUUAUGUAGUGUGUCAAAACAAUUUUUUUUCAGUUUACGUUUGAAAGCUUAUGUUUUUUGGAGUUGUGCAUGAAAGCUUAUGUUUUUGUAAUUGUUAGUCGAAUGUGAACCUUGUUUUUUAGUCAUCUA